UACGUAGGGACCAAGCGUUGUUCGGAUUUACUGGGCGUAAAGGGCGCGUAGGCGGCGUGACAAGUCACUUGUGAAAUCUCCGGGCUUAACUCGGAACGGCCAAGUGAUACUGUCGUGCUAGAGUGCAGAAGGGGCAAUCGGAAUUCUUGGUGUAGCGGUGAAAUGCGUAGAUAUCAAGAGGAACACCUGAGGUGAAGACGGGUUGCUGGGCUGACACUGACGCUGAGGCGCGAGGGCUAGGGGAGCAAACGGG
rnacentral:rRNA from 1 species